UACGGAGGAUGCAAGCGUUCUCCGGAAUGAUUGGGCGUAAAGGGUCCGCAGGUGGCAGUGUAAGUCUGCUGUCAAAGAAUGAGGCUUAACCUUAUCAAGGCAGUGGAAACUACACAGCUAGAGUACGGUCGGGGUAGAAGGAAUUCCUGGUGUAGCGGUGAAAUGCGUAGAGAUCAGGAAGAACACCGGUGGCGAAAGCGUUCUGCUAGACCUGUACUGACACUGAGGGACGAAAGCUAGGGGAGCGAAUGGG
rnacentral:rRNA from 1 species